GAUGAAGAACGCAGCGAAAUGCGAUAAGUAGUGUGAAUUGCGGAAUUCAGUGAAUCAUCGAAUCUUUGAACGCACAUUGCGCCCCUCGGUAUUCCGUGGGGCAUGCCUGUUCGAGCGUCAUUUACCCCUCAAGCACUGCUUGGUGUUGGGCGUCUGUCCCGCUUCGCGCGCGGACUCGCCCCAAAGGUAUUGGCAGCGGUCGUGCCAGCUUCUCGCGCAGCACAUUGCGCUUCUCGAGGCGGUCGAUCGGCGUCCACGAAGCUCACCUCCACCGUUUGACCUCGGAUCAGGUAGGGAUACCCGCUGAACUUAAGCAUAUCAAUAAGCGGAGGA
rnacentral:misc_RNA from 1 species